AGCUCAGUUGGUAAAGAAUCUGCCUGCAAUGCAGGAGACCCGGGUUCAAUUCCUGG
rnacentral:tRNA from 1 species